UACAGGGGGUGCAAACGUUGUCCGGAAUUAUUGGGCGUAAAGCGCGCGCAGGUGGUUUCUUAAGUCUGAUGUGAAAGCCCACGGCUCAACCGUGGAGGGUCAUUGGAAACUGGGGAACUUGAGUGCAGGAGAGAAGAGUGGAAUUCCACGUGUAGCGGUGAAAUGCGUAGAGAUGUGGAGGAACACCAGUGGCGAAGGCGACUCUUUGGCCUGUAACUGACGCUGAGGUGCGAAAGCGUGGGGAGCAAACAGG
rnacentral:rRNA from 1 species